rnacentral:rRNA from 1 species
UACGAAGGGGGCUAGCGUUGCUCGGAAUUACUGGGCGUAAAGCGCACGUAGGCGGCUUUCUAAGUCGGGGGUGAAAUCCUGGAGCUCAACUCCAGAACUGCCUUCGAUACUGGGAGCUCGAGUCCGGGAGAGGUGAGUGGGAACUGCGAGUGUAGAGGUGAAAUUCGUAGAUAUUCGCAAGAACACCAGUGGCGAAGGCGGCUCACUGGCCCGGUACUGACGCUGAGGUGCGAAAGCGUGGGGAGCAAACAGGG